AGGACGAACGCUGGCGGCGUGCUUAACACAUGCAAGUCGAGCGGAAAGGCCUUUCGGGGUACUCGAGCGGCGAACGGGUGAGUAACACGUGAGUAAUCUGCCCAUCGCUUCAGGAUAGCCAUCGGAAACGGUGAUUAAUACUGGAUAUGACAUUCCUUCGCAUGUUGGGGUGUGGAAAGUUUUUUCGGCGGUGGAUGUGCUCGCGGCCUAUCAGCUUGUUGGUGGGGUAAUGGCCUACCAAGGCUUUGACGGGUAGCCGGCCUGAGAGGGUGACCGGCCACACUGGGGACUGAGACACGGCCCAGACUCCUACGGGAGGCAGCAGGUGGGGAAUAGUUGGACAAGUGGGCGGAAG
rnacentral:rRNA from 1 species